GAUUAAGUUAUUAAGGGCGCACGGUGGAUGCCUUGGCACUAGAAGCCGAAGAAGGACGUUACUAACGACGAUAUGCUUUGGGGAGCUGUAAGUACGCUUUGAUCCAGAGAUUUCCGAAUGGGGAAACCCAGCAUGAGUUAUGUCAUGUUAUCCGCAUAUGAAUACAUAGUAUGUGAGAAGGCACACCCGGAGAACUGAAACAUCUUAGUACCCGGAGGAAGAGAAAGAAAACUCGAUUCCCUGAGUAGCGGCGAGCGAAACGGGAAGAGCCCAAACCAAUAGGCUUGCCUAUUGGGGUUGUAGGACACUCAAUACGGAGUUACAAAGGAAAUGAUUAGACGAAUGGUUUUGGAAAAGCCAACCAUAGAAGGUAAAGGUCCUGUAGUCGAAAGUCAUUUCUCUCCUGAGUGGAUCCUGAGUACGGCGGAACACGUGAAAUUCCGUCGGAAUCUGGGAGGACCAUCUCCCAAGGCUAAAUACUCUCUAGUGACCGAUAGUGAACCAGUACCGUGAGGGAAAGGUGAAAAGCACCCCGGAAGGGGAGUGAAAUAGAACCUGAAACCGUGUGCUUACAAAUAGUCAGAGCCCGUUAAUGGGUGAUGGCGUGCCUUUUGUAGAAUGAACCGGCGAGUUACGAUUUGAUGCAAGGUUAAGCAGUAAAUGUGGAGCCGUAGCGAAAGCGAGUCUGAAUAGGGCGAAUGAGUAUCUGGUCGUAGACCCGAAACCAAGUGAUCUACCCAUGUCCAGGUUGAAGUUCAGGUAACACUGAAUGGAGGACCGAACCGACUUACGUUGAAAAGUGAGCGGAUGAGGUGUGGGUAGCGGAGAAAUUCCAAUCGAACUUGGAGAUAGCUGGUUCUCUCCGAAAUAGCUUUAGGGCUAGCCUCAAGUGAUGAUUAUUGGAGGUAGAGCACUGUUUGGACGAGGGGCCCCUCUCGGGUUACCGAAUUCAGACAAACUCCGAAUGCCAAAUAAUUUAACUUGGGAGUCAGACUAUGGGUGAUAAGGUCCGUAGUCGAAAGGGAAACAGCCCAGACCACCAGCUAAGGUCCCAAAAUAUAUGUUAAGUGGAAAAGGAUGUGGCGUUGCCCAGACAACUAGGAUGUUGGCUUAGAAGCAGCCAUCAUUUAAAGAGUGCGUAAUAGCUCACUAGUCGAGUGACACUGCGCCGAAAAUGUACCGGGGCUAAACAUAUUACCGAAGCUGUGGAUUAUCCGUAAGGAUAAUGGUAGGAGAGCGUUCUAAACGUGUUGAAGCAUGAUCGUAAGGACAUGUGGAAUGUUUAGAAGUGAGAAUGCCGGUGUGAGUAGCGAAAGAUGGGUGAGAAUCCCAUCCACCGAUUGACUAAGGUUUCCAGAGGAAGGCUCGUCCGCUCUGGGUUAGUCGGGACCUAAGCCGAGGCCGAUAGGCGUAGGCGAUGGAUAACAGGUAGAUAUUCCUGUACCACCUAUGAUUGUUUGAACGAUGGGGGGACGCAGUAGGAUAGGCGAAGCGUGCUGUUGGAGUGCACGUCCAAGCAAU
rnacentral:rRNA from 1 species